CAGGGCGUUUGGCAUUUGACAUACCCAGGGCCGCUCUGGAACAUCACGUUCAUUGUGGAUUACCAGCCUGUCAAAUUGCAGCGAUGCUCGGAGUGUCAAAGAGGACCAUCAGGAGGCGCAUGCAACAAUACGGUUUAAGAAAGACAGACCUGUAUUCAGCUGUGAAUGAUGAGGAGUUGGACUGUAUUGUAAGUGAAGUCCACAGAAGACAUCCAAACACCGGCUACAAGCUAAUACGUGGUCAUCUUGAAUGCAAGAGGUGUGCGUGUUCCAAUCUCAAGACUGCAAGAGUCUUUACGCAGAGUUGAUGCAGAGGGAGUCUACAUGAGGCGUCUAAGACUGCGUGUAUUAAGACGACGGCAGUAUUCUGUCCUGGCCCAAACUCUUUAUGGCAUAUAGAUGGCAAUCAUAAGCUCAUCAGAUGGAGAUUUGUUGUCCAUGGUGGGGUGGAUGGAUUCAGUCGUUUAGUCGUCUACCUGACUGUGGCUGGCAAUAACAGAGCUAGUACGGUCUUACAGAGCUUUAUCGCUGCUGUUGAGCAGUACGGGCUGCCAUCAAGGGUACGGUCUGAUAAAGGGGGCGAGAAUGCAGAUGUAGCAGAAUUCAUGAUCGGGAGCAGAGGUACC